rnacentral:rRNA from 1 species
GGACGAACGCUGGCGGCGUGCUUAACACAUGCAAGUCGAACGGAAAGGCCCUGCUUUUGUGGGGUGCUCGAGUGGCGAACGGGUGAGUAACACGUGAGUAACCUGCCCUUGACUUUGGGAUGACUUCAGGAAACUGGGGCUAAUACCGGAUAGGAGCUCCUGCUGCAUGGUGGGGGUUGGAAAGUUUCGGCGGUUGGGGAUGGACUCGCGGCUUAUCAGCUUGUUGGUGGGGUAGUGGCUUACCAAGGCUUUGACGGGUAGCCGGCCUGAGAGGGUGACCGGCCACAUUGGGACUGAGAUACGGCCCAGACUCCUACGGGAGGCAGCAGUGGGGAAUAUUGCACAAUGGGCGGAAGCCUGAUGCAGCAACGCCGCGUGCGGGAUGACGGCCUUCGGGUUGUAAACCGCUUUCGCCUGUGACGAAGCGUGAGUGACGGUAAUGGGUAAAGAAGCACCGGCUAACUACGUG